UGCUCAGUAAAUUUAUAAAUUUUGUCAUUAUCCAAAUAACUGUAAUAUAAUUCCAAUGGAAUUUCUUUUGAAUAUGUAAACUUAUUAUCCGUGACAGACCAUACGUAGAAACAAUGUUUAUUGCUUAAAAAUAUAUCAUAUUCUGUACUUGAAACUAAUAAUCCUUCAAGGAAAUCUGUUGGAAAUUUAUCUAAAUCAUAAUCCAAUGGAAGAUUAUUUAAUAUCAUGUUAAGAGUUGUAUUAUUAUAACCAAUAAGUUCUAUUUUAUCAACGAAUAAAUCAAAAUAAAUGUAUGGAACAAUAAUAUUUUUGUCCAAUACAUAUUCAACACCAAAAAACUUUGUCUCGAUUGCAUAAUCUAACUGAUAUUGCCAAUCUGCAUUAAUGACAUUUGAUUUUUCAUAAAACGAUUUAAUAACAUCAGUUGCUAUUUGACUAUUUUGAACUCUUAUUUUGAUUUCAGAA
rnacentral:sRNA from 1 species